CCUCACCUUGGAAGGGACAGGGCAUCCAUCACAUGUCUGGGGACUUCACCUGACUGCCUCGACUUCUCAAAUACCACUGAGAGUGGCUCGGUGACUGCAGCGGUGAAUUCCCUCAAGGCUCUGGGACUCGUCUCAUCAGAACCCAAAGACUCCUGGAUGCUCAGGUCCUCAGGUGGUCCAGAACCUGAUCUCCCAUCACAGUGUGGGAUAGGGAGGGGUCUGUGGGAUCGGCUUUGCUUCCUCAGUCCCCACCUACUAAACCAAAGGUGAAGGCAGUGUAUAAUGAGCAGUUAUCAGAGAAGAUG